rnacentral:rRNA from 1 species
GCCACUGCUGUUGGGGUUCGGCUAAGCCAUGCGAGUGGAGGGCGUCCCGCAAGGGAUGGCCCCGCAGACGGCUCAGUAACACGUCGUCAACCCACCUUAGGGUGGGGGACAACCUCGGGAAACUGAGGAUAAUCCCCCAUAGGCGGGGGAGGCUAGAAUGCGCCCCCGCUGAAAGCUCAGGCGCCCUAGGACGGGACGGCGGCCUAUCAGGUAGUUGGUGGUGUGACG